GAACAUGGCUGAAGGAAGCCGAGGUGGCCCUACGUGUAGCGGGGUGGGUGGCAGGCAGGACCCAGUCUCCGGCAGUGGCGGCUGCAACUUUCCAGAGUAUGAGCUUCCCGAGCUAAAUACGCGCGCUUUCCAUGUGGGCGCCUUUGGGGAGCUGUGGCGGGGCCGUCUGCGCGGGGCCGGGGACUUGUCGCUGAGGGAGCCGCCGGCAUCCGCUCUGCCUGGGAGCCAGGCAGCUGACUCCGACCGGGAGGAUGCCGCGGUGGCCAGGGAUCUGGACUGCAGCCUGGAGGCGGCGGCUGAGCUGAGGGCGGUGUGCGGCCUUGAUAAACUGAAAUGCCUUGAGGACGGUGAGGAUCCAGAAGUCAUUCCGGAGAAUACUGACCUGGUGACUUUGGGGGUUAGAAAAAGGUUCUUGGAACAUCGGGAAGAAACCAUUACAAUAGAUCGAGCCUGCAGACAAGAAACAUUCGUUUAUGAGAUGGAGUCACAUGCCAUAGGAAAAAAGCCUGAAAAUUCAGCAGACAUGAUUGAAGAAGGGGAGCUUAUCCUAUCUGUGAAUAUCUUGUACCCUGUUAUAUUUCAUAAGCACAAAGAACACAAACCAUACCAAACAAUGCUGGUGUUGGGCAGUCAAAAACUCACACAACUGAGGGAUUCAAUUCGAUGUGUCAGUGACCUCCAGAUUGGUGGUGAAUUCAGCAACACUCCUGACCAAGCCCCUGAGCACAUCAGCAAAGUAAGGACCUAUACAAAUCAGCCUUCUUUUAUUUUGAAGGAACAUUUUAUAAUGAUAAAAGAUACCCAGAAUGCAGAGAUUUGAGCAGAACUAUCAUUGAGUGGUCAGAGUCCCAUGAUAGAGGCUAUGGAAAGUUUCAGACUGCUAGAAUGGAAGAUUUCACCUUCAAUGACUUGUGUAUUAAACUGGGUUUUCCUUACUUAUACUGUCAUCAGGGAGACUGUGAACAUGUCAUUGUCAUUACUGACAUAAGGCUUGUGCAUCAUGAUGACUGCUUGGAUAGGACAUUGUAUCCCCUCCUUAUCAAGAAGCAUUGGCUAUGGACCAGAAAAUGUUUUGUUUGUAAAAUGUAUACAGCCAGAUGGGUGACGAACAAUGACAGUUUUGCACCAGAGGACCCAUGCUUCUUUUGUGAUGUUUGCUUCCGAAUGCUGCACUAUGAUUCAGAAGGCAACAAACUGGGGGAAUUCCUUGCUUAUCCUUAUGUUGAUCCUGGAACCUUUAAUUAAGAAUAGCUACACUCACAAAAAUACCCCCUCAUGAAAUAACUGUUCUCUUGGAUGGUUACCUUAUUUCUAAGAAACGCCACUGAGGAACAGGAUCCACUUUGAACAGUCCGCUAAAGCUAUCAAAAAAAAGUCCAAAUGACAGAUUUUCUUAUAAUGAUAGUAUUUAAAUGUUUAUAACAUAGUUUAAUUUUAUAUUUAUUCCAGAUAGUAUUUAAUUUAGUGCUUUUUACCCAUUUUGAGUUGAGUUGUAGUACUUUAUAUAUUCUGACUUUAAAUCCUUUGUCAGACACACAUAUUCUUUCUCCCAAUCCAUGCCUUCCCUAUUCAUUCUCUGUCCAGAGUUUUUUGCUAAAGAUAGAAUUAUUAAUGAUACAUCAAGUAGUGGAAGUGUUUUGAAAAUUCUUUGAAGAAUGUGAGAGCUACACCUUCUACCAUGAGGCUUCCAAGGUUGUAUUUAAAUUUGACUGAAUAUCUGGAUGGCUAAGAACAGACAUUUAUCUUACACAUGGAAAACUGACGAAACCUAUAAGCCUAUGUGUUUGACAGUGAAGUAUGUUUUAUGGACUUAAAUGCCACAAACAGUUAAGUCCAUUGGCUUGGAGAUGACAAGCACGAGUUUCUGGUAUGUCUAGUGUUCUCAUUCACUGAUUCAGUCAGUACACAGAUAAUCAGUAUAGAGAACUUAAGAGGCUGGCUUAUGUUAUACCUAAAUUUUUACUUUCUUGUAUACAACAAUGCUAAAAUUGAGCAGAUUGAUAACUGCCAGCAAACCAUAGAUUUAAGAUAAAUGAAUGAUUUACCCAACCCUAAAAUUCCAUGGGUAAAAAUUUUGAUUCCUUUAUUUUCAAUACUGCGUUCCUUAUAGGUCUUACAUGCAUAUGCAAGGAUAUUUUAUCUUAUUCAUUCAUUUCAUACUCUCAAAACACCAAACUUCAAAAAGUUAAUUAUUGUCAUAAUGCAUUAUUCCAUGUGUGGUGUCAAUACAUUUUAGCGGACAAAGAAGAAACAUGCCAGUUAAAACAUUUCUGCUACUGGGAUUCUUUAUUAAUUAUUUGAGAAUGUUAUUUUGCUAGUUCUUAAGGUUAAGUUUUUCAUCAAAGACUCAGGUACCUAUUAUUGUUCCCUGGUGAAACUGAGGAGAAAAGUUAAUCAACCAGGUUACUCCCACAGUUUGCCCGUGUGUUAUGUAUCAGUUAUACAGGUAUCCCACCAAGUUCAAGUCAAAAGAAAUUCCUAACUUUGUAUAUUUCUGGAGCUAUAAAACCCCUGAUUUAAGACAGCUUUUCUCUUUUUUCGAGGCAGCUUUUCUUUAUGCUUAUUUCAAUCAAAUGUAACACGCCUGUCAAAUUACAUGUAACACAUUAGCUAAUGAAGAUAGGCAACUGAAAAUGUUGUCAUGAACAUGUCAACCUGCUUGGUAGUUGAAUUUGACUUUUAUAUAAUAGUGGAUACACAUGCACAGAAGUUACUAGAGAAGCAAUAGCUAUUUCUUUAAACAUUCUUCAGGCAUCAGUACCAUUUAAGGACAAUUAGACAUUCUAGUUUUACUAGGAGAAAGGUCAGUCAUCUCUAACAUUGUGUUGCAGAAUUACACGACACAAACAUAAACACAUUUCUGCCUAUUAAACCAGUUUCUUUGUUUCUAAAGAGUUUAAUGAUACAGGUUUGCUAUUUCCAUUAGAGCAUCCUUUUUCUGGCCAAUCGGACAAAAUAGAGUUAGCAAAGCCCUCACAGCACCCUAUGAAAAAUCUCUGCUCUUAUACAGGAUUAGAUGCAGACCUCAUCUUGACCUAACAUCUGUAACCAGGUAAGUGUAUGAGUAGGAACACAGACAGCAGUACUGUAUCAGCAAAAUCUAUCAUAUUAUUUGAAAUCACUGGAUAUAAUAUUAAUUAUAAAGUGUAUGGUUCUCUCCAGUUGUUCACAUACCAAAUCCCAGUCAGUUCUCAGAUUCAGAUAGAUGUAUCUGCAAUUUCUCCAAGCAGCUAAGAAAACCUUCAAUGGUCAGUUCUGCUUGGUCAUGGUAUGACUCUUUUUUUUUUUUUUUUUUUUUUUUUUUGAGAUGGAGUCUUGCUCUGUCUCCCAGGCUGGAGUGCAGUGGGGCAAUCUCAGCUCACUGCAACCUCUGCCUCCCGGGUUCAAGCAAUUCUCCUGCCUCAGCCUCCCGAGGAGCUGGGAUUACAGGCACGUGCCACUGCGCCCGGCUGAUGUAUGACUCUUUUAUCCAGUAAUCAAAACACAUACGUACAUACACACACAUACCAGCCCAAAAGAGGUGUUAAAACAUACAUAUUACACGUACUUUUUGGAGGGGUGGGGUGGGGUGGGGUGGGGUGGGGUGGGGGUUAUCUAUCUCAAAAUUACCUUUUGGUGCCUUGUCAAGCUGUGGAGUUUUGACCACACACACAAAUUGAGCCAAUGAACAAUUUCAAUGAUCCUGAAAGUUCUUAAGUCUUAUGAAUAAUUAUCAAGAGUUCUGAGAAGUUAUCUGUAAAUCAGCCUAUGACACCAUUUCUUGAGAGUUAUGAUUAAAGAAACAGCAAUUAUGCUUGAAGCGAACAUACAUCAACUAGUUAGAGCAAGGUCAGCCUGUACAAGCUGACAUAAAUUAUGAGAAUGAUGCUCUAUCUCUAGAAUUGGAAUAUUCUGUGGCUUCUUUGUAAAACUAUAGAUCUGGUGGGUCAUGGGAAGAAAGGGAGGGUGAACAAAAGAUAAAUAUUACCUUUAUUUUUUAUCAUCUUGAGCUUACUGUUUAGUUACCCCGUUUCCCAAAACAGCACAACCUCUGUGACCAGUUAACUAAGAAAUUAUUUCCUUGGCAGCAAACCCAGAAUUCCAUCACUUACUCUUGUAAAUAGCAAGAAAGUAAUUUACUAGCAGAGUUUGAUAGAAAAAUUCUUUAAUGAAAACAAGUUUACACGUUGAACUUAUGGCUUAACUAGAAUAAAUCUAAGUAAGUUAAAACUGUAUAAGGACCAAACAGAUAAUGACUGGUAUAUAUGCAGGUUCUCUCAAAACGGUGAUUCCUAGUUCCAUUAUAAGACCUCUUUAAAAGCAAAAAUGCAAUUCUGUAGAUGAAAACAGUUAUCUCAGAGGGUCAACCACACAAUGUCAUACAGAGACGCUGGUCUUAAGCCAUUUUUUUCCAUAUUCAUAUAAUUUCAAAACAUGAGAAGUAUCCUACUUGCUGAGAAGUGCCAAAUGACCCUAAUAUUCAAAAUAUCUUAGAAAUGCUAUCCUUUAGUUAACAUACCCUUAAAUUUUGUAACAUUGAUUUUACCCUGGAUUUAGUCCAUACACGUCAAUGUACAGACUUAUCAAAGUACAAUGCUGGAACAACUAGUGUUUGUAUUUUUGGAAUCUAGAAAAUAAAAACAAUAUAGCCAUGAUUUCAAAUAGGUGAGUUUCCUUAUAUAACAUUUAUUCAUAUUUAUUGUAUAAGCAUCAUGAUUUUUUCUUCCAAUUAAGUUUUAGUGACUUCCUAAAGACAUUUUUAACAACAUUCCUCAAAAAUAAACUUACUUAGUUUUCAGUUUUAGUUACUAGUGCCUGCCUAUAAAAGGACCUUAAAUGAUUUAACCCUAAAGCCAGAUUCAUUCCUAUAUAUACCCAGUCAGUUGUCUGCAAAGAAGUCCUAAGACUUCACUGAAUGCCCAGCCACAAAACUAAAUUACCUUCAAAAAUUAAUGUUUUAUAGUUUGUAGAAUUCUCAGUUCCAUGUCAGUUGCUUAAUUAGUUGUCAUACCAAAAAAAACCAUACAGAGCACACAUUGUUCCAAAGAAGCUGGAUAAUGUAGCACAAUGUAGACUGUGAGAUUAAAAUUAACUUUUGAUAAAAAGGGAGUGAGUACUUGUAUAGAAGUAACAUUUUAUCUACCAUAAAAAUGUGUAACUUCUACAAAACCCACAAACAGUGAAAAGACAGUCUGGUAAAUCCAAGGUUUGUAAAAACUAUGCACAAAACCCACAGUAUUUGGGAAAAGAGGCAAGGUUUAUACAAGUAGCAGUUUUAAAAAUGUAACUUUGUUCUACUAUCAAUUACACAUUAACAUACACACACUAAUUGAAAAUAUGCUACAACCAUGUCUGGAAAAGCAGUUUAACAUUUUCUAAAUGGAUUUUAUCCCACAUUUACUGUAUAAUGUAGCUGUUAAUACUGCACAAGUACACUUAGCGAUAAUGUUUACUUUACUUUAAAACAAAGGGAUUUUCUCCCUCAAAACAAGUUUUCAACAUCAAACCUAUGCUUAUAAAAAUUUAAAACUUUCAGCAGUCUAUUUCAAAUGAAAACCAUUACAAACUUCUCAAGUGUUCUCUAUAUUCCAGGUAUGUCAACCUAGUUAUCUAGUGUAGAAUCCUUCAGAGAUAUUUCAGUCUCUCUCUCUUCACUGGAUGGCCUGAAGAAAAGGGGGAAAGGUACAACUGGAAUUAGGAUUUUCUCCUGAUGAAGGAAAAAAAGACAUUAAGUCUGCAUUAUAUUUUUAAACCCAUGAAAAGACUGAAACCAACCAAACAAAAGAAAAACUUGACUUGUUAUUAGAACAGUCAUUAUUAUUUUUUUCUUCUUCAAAACUGUUAUUUUACCAUGUUGUAUCUUCUUCCCAAAGUAAUAUGCAGAUGAAGCAAAAUAACUCAGCAAAGUGUCAUGGACCAAGCCCUUUCCAUCAUUUCUAGCAUAAAAGUGAAUUCUCUUUAAAGAACAUGAGAAUGUUUUAUAUCUGUGAUACCAACAUAUUUCAAAAUCUUAAUAAAAAGAGAGGUUGAUACACACAUAGACAACAAGAUUUCCCUCAAUUUCAGAAUUAGAAGGGAUGCUUCUAUCUAACUCCUUCAGAUACACAGUGGAACAAAGCAAGACUUCAACUAUGGCUCCAUAGCCUAUUUUAGGGUGGGUAUUAAAAAAUAGCCUGUGAUGGCCGGGCAUGUUGGCUCACAGCUGUAAUCCCAACACUGGGAAGCCAAGGUGGGUGGAUCACCUGAGGUCAGGAGUUCGAGGCCGGGCUGGCCAACAUGGUGAAACCUCAUCUCUACUAAAAAUACAAAAAAUUAGAUGGGCGUGGUGGCAGGUGCCUGUAAUCCCAGCUACUUGGGAGGCUGAGGCAGGAGAAUCGCUUGAACCCAGGAAGUGGAGGUUGCAGUGAGCACGAUCGUGCCAUUGCACUCCAGCCUGAGCAACAAGAGUGAAACUCUGUCUCAAAGAAAAAACAACAACAACAAAACUGUGAUUCUCCAUCUAACUUUUUACAAUUAUCCUUUCACAAUUCAAGAAAGUGUGAAUGCAAGUCAUUACUAACAGUAUCUCAGUAAAAGUAGUCCAGGAGCAAAUAUUUUCUUUUUAACUGGGUUCCCAGCUAGUUCCAUUCCCUUGAAUUCAGUGGCAAAGUCACUGUCAAUAAAAGGUUUUUACUCUUCUUCCUUUUUGAAUUGUAACUUGCUUACUGAAUUCAGGAAUUGGGUGAUCAAAAGAUAACUGCUUAUUAUAGUAAGAUAACCUUGGAACAGAACUGUGAUUAAAAACCUGAAUAAUAAAAAACACACAAGACCCAUUAAAA